GAUGAACGCUGGCGGCGUGCCUAAUACAUGCAAGUCGAACGAAGAGGGGACGGGGGAGUAACACGUGGGUGACCCCCUAUAAGAAUGGGAAAAAUUAGGGAAAACGGAGCUUAAACGGAUAAUUAUAGAUGGAUGCGCGAGGCAUUAGCUAGGUGGUAAGGUAACGGCGUAACAGGGCACAUAUGCAUAGCCGACCUGAGAGGGUAAUCGGCCACACUGGAACUGUGACACGGUCCAGACUCCUACGUGAGUCAGCAGUGGGGAAUCUUCCGCAAGGGGCGCAAGCCUGACGGAGCUACGCCGCGUGUAUGAUGAAGGUCUUCGGGUCGUAAAAUUCUGUUAGAGGGGAAGCGGUAACUGAUCAGAAAGCCACGGCUAACUACGUGCCAGCAGCCGCGGUAAUUC
rnacentral:rRNA from 1 species